rnacentral:rRNA from 1 species
UACGGGGGGGGCAAGCGUUGUUCGGAAUUACUGGGCGUAAAGGGCUCGUAGGUGGCCAACUAAGUCAGACGUGAAAUCCCUCGGCUUAACCGGGGAACUGCGUCUGAUACUGGAUGGCUUGAGUUUGGGAGAGGGAUGCGGAAUUCCAGGUGUAGCGGUGAAAUUCGUAGAUAUCGGGAGGAACACCGGUGGCGAAGGCGGCGACCUGGGUCGAGACUGACGCUGAGGCGCGAAAGCGUGGGGAGCAAACAGG